UACGAUAGGUGGGGGAGCAGUAUGCUGAGAGGUCCCUUAUAGGGAUGACCCCUGGAACCUGUUGGAUAAUGCCAGCGUAGGGAACCGUAGUGAAGGGUUG
rnacentral:ncRNA from 2 species